AAGUCGUAACAAGGUUUCCGUAGGUGAACCUGCGGAAGGAUCAUUACAAAUCCCAUUUGAUUCCUAUCUGUUGAAAUGUGAAAAAGUGAGAGAGAGAGAGAGAGGGGUGGUGGUUAGGGUUCGUGAUUGGUUAGGGUUAGGGUUUAGGUCAGGUUUUGUUAUAAAAUACACAACCAUUCUAAUGACUUGUACGAUUCCAUCCCUAUACACACACUCGCGUUUCUCUUCUUCAUCACCUCACCUGCUUUCUCACUUUUCUUUUCAUUCUUUUUUGUUGAUCUAUUUUAAAUAUUUCGAUGACACACACUUUACACAACUUGUGACAAUGGAUCUCUAGGCUCUU
rnacentral:misc_RNA from 1 species